rnacentral:rRNA from 1 species
GACGAACGUUGGCGGCGUGCUUAAUACAUGCAAGUCAACUGAAGCAGUGGUAGCAAUAUCGCUGUGGAGGUGGCGCACGGGUGAGUAACACGUAGGUAAUCUGCCUUCAGGUCUGCAUAACUCCCGGAAACCGGGGCUAAUAGCCGAUGAAGCAGCGGCCCGACAUCGAAAACGUUGUUAAAGCUAUUGCGCCUGAAGAUGAGCCUGCGUCUGAUUAGCUAGUUGGCGGGGUAACGGCCCACCAAGGCAACGAUCAGUAGCUGGUCUGAGAGGAUGAUCAGCCACACUGGAACUGAGACACGGUCCAGACUCCUACGGGAGGCAGCAGUAAGGAAUAUUGCUCAAUGGGAGAAAUCCUGAAGCAGCAACGCCGCGUGAGGGACGAAGGGCUUUUGCUUGUAAACCUCUGUAGUGAGAGAAAAAAAUCCCAAUCUUUGGGACAUGAUGGUAUCUCAAAAGUAAGCCCCGGCUAACUACGUG